CUCACUUUCCAUUUUCGGCUUUCACUAUUCAUAUUUUCUUCUUUUUCCAUUAUUUUCUUCUUACGUUUAGAACCAGAAUAUUUUCUCACGGAACCACCGUGCCGGAACUCUCCUCCGGCCGUCAUCUUCUUCUCCUUCUAAGAUUAAUUCUUCGUGCAGUUCAGUCGCGGUUGUAAUGCGAAAUUAAUCGGUAAGCUUAAGGUGGAUGAAGGUUGACAGGUUAUGUGUUAGCCUCGUCCGAGUGCAAUGGUGAAGCUCUGCUCUGAUUGAG